rnacentral:rRNA from 1 species
AGUGAACGCUGGCGGCAGGCCUAACACAUGCAAGUCGAACGGCAGCACGGCAGUAGCAAUACUGUGGGUGGCGAGUGGCGGACGGGUGAGGAAUACAUCGGGAUCUACCCUGUUGUGGGGGAUAACGUAGGGAAACUUACGCUAAUACCGCAUAAGAACUGAGGUUGAAAGCGGCGGACCGCAAGGCGUCGCGCGAUUGGAUGAACCGAUGUCCGAUUAGCUAGUUGGCGGGGUAAAGGCCCACCAAGGCGACGAUCGGUAGCUGGUCUGAGAGGACGACCAGCCACACUGGAACUGAGACACGGUCCAGACCCCUACGGGAGGCAGCAGUGGGGAAUAUUGGACAAUGGGCGCAAGCCUGAUCCAGCCAUGCCGCGUGGGUGAAGAAGGCCUUCGGUUGU